AAUGUUGGACAAUGGGCGCAAGCCUGAUCCAGCCAUGCCUCGUGAGUGAAGAAGGCCUUCGGGAUGUAAAGCUCUUUCGGACGGAAAGAAAUCGCGCAGGCUAAUACCCUGCGCGGAUGACCGUACCGUCAUUAGAAGCACCGGCUAACUUCGUGUCAGCCGCCGCGGUCAUACGUAGGGUGGGAGCGUUAAUCGGAAUUACUUGGCGUAAAGCGUGCGCAGGCGGUUGAUUAAGACAGACGUGAAAUCCCCGGGCUUAACCUGGGCACUGCGCUUGUGACUGGUCAGCUAGAGUACGGCAGAGGGGGGUGGAAUUCCACGUGUAGCAGUGAAAUGCGUAGAGAUGUGGAGGAACACCGAUGGCGAAGGCAGCCCCCUGGGCCGAUACUGACGCUCAUGCACGAAAGCGUGGGUAGCAAACAGG
rnacentral:rRNA from 1 species